rnacentral:rRNA from 1 species
ACUACCCGCUGAACUUAAGCAUAUCAAUAAGCGGAGGAAAAGAAACUAACAAGGAUUCCCCUAGUAACGGCGAGUGAAGCGGGAAAAGCUCAAAUUUGAAAUCUGGCAGCCUCAGGUUGCCCGAGUUGUAGUCUAUAGAAACGUUUUCCGCGCUGGCCCAUGUACAAGUCUCCUGGAAUGGAGCGUCAUAGAGGGUGAGAAUCCCGUCCUUGACAUGGACUACCAGUGCUUUGUGAUACGUUUUCAAAGGGUCGAGUUGUUUGGGAAUGCAGCUCAAAAUGGGUGGUAAAUUCCAUCUAAAGCUAAAUAUUGGCGAGAGACCGAUAGCGAACAAGUACCGUGAGGGAAAGGUGAAAAGCACUUUGGAAAGAGAGUUAAACAGUAUGUGAAAUUGUUGAAAGGGAAACGAUUGAAGUCAGUCAUGUCUAUUGRACUCAGCCGGUUCUGCCGGUGUACUUCCUUUAGAUGGGGUCAACAUCAGUUUUGAUCGCUGGAAAAGGGCAGGAGGAAUGUAGCACUCUCGGGUGAACUUAUAGCCUUCUGUCGUAUACAGUGGUUGGGACUGAGGAACGCGAGCAUGCCUUUAUGGCCGGGGUUCGCCCACGUACAUGCUUAGGAUGUUGACAUAAU